rnacentral:rRNA from 1 species
UACGUAGGGUGCGAGCGUUAAUCGGAAUUACUGGGCGUAAAGCGUGCGCAGGCGGGUUUGUAAGACAGGUGUGAAAUCCCCGGGCUUAACCUGGGAACUGCAUUUGUGACUGCAAAGCUGGAGUGCGGCAGAGGGGGAUGGAAUUCCGCGUGUAGCAGUGAAAUGCGUAGAUAUGCGGAGGAACACCGAUGGCGAAGGCAGCCCCCUGGGUCAAGAUUGACGCUCAUGCACGAAAGCGUGGGGAGCAAACAGG